ensembl:Mt_tRNA
GGGAGAGGCUCGAAAGCACCGACGACUGCUAAUCCGCUCGCCACUCUGGUUAGACCCCGGAGCUCGCUCA